rnacentral:rRNA from 1 species
UAACGAAUCUUCCGCAAUGUACGCAAGUAUGACGGAGCGACGCCGCGUGUGGGACGAAGCCCUUCGGGGUGUAAACCACUGUCAGGGGUUAGAAAGUUCUGAUCGACCCCAGAGGAAGGCACGGCUAACUCUGUGCCAGCAGCCGCGGUAAGACAGAGGUGCCAAGCGUUAGGCGGAAUCACUGGGCUUAAAGCGUGUGUAGGCGGAUCGUUAAGUACCUUGUGAAAUCCCCCGGCUCAACCGGGGAACUGCUGGGUAUACUGGCGAUCUUGAGCUGUCUAGGGGCGACCGGAACAAAUGGUGGAGCGGUGAAAUGCGUAGAUAUCAUUUGGAACGCCAAUGGUGAAAACAGGUCGCUGGGGACAUGCUGACGCUGAGACACGAAAGCCAGGGGAGCAAACGGGAUUAGAUACCCCGGUAGUCC